AGGAAGAAGAGAGACUUAUUAGAGCUUGAAAGAAUAUUUAGAAAUACAAAGAGUGAUGAUUUAAAAGAUCAAAUUAAAACUAGAAAGAGAGAUUUAAGACAUGAAAUAUCAAUAAAUAAACAAAAAGUCUUUGACAAAAAAGUCGCCAAUGCAAGAAAUAAAAAUAGAGUUAUCUGGAAGAUUGUUAACGAUAAUGUUGGUAAAAACAAAAAUAAAAAUUCAAAUUCAAGUGUUAUAGAUAAUGGAAUUCAUGUAACAAACCCUCUUACUAUUAGUAAUAUCUUUAAUGAUUUCUUUGUUACAGCAGUAGAUAAGUUUGCCAUACCAAAUAUUCCUGAUAGAUGUGAACCUGUUGAAACCCCGAUUUAUCCAAACUGUCAAUCCACACUGAGAUUCAGAUUCAAAACUAUUUCAGAAUAUGAGUUAGAAAAAAUAAUAAUGUCAUUUGAAAAUAAAAUUUCUUCAGGGCCAGAUGACAUCCCAAUUACAAUAGUU